CCUACGGGUGGCAGCAGUGGGGAAUAUUGGACAAUGGGGGCAACCCUGAUCCAGCCAUGCCGCGUGUGUGAAGAAGGCCCUCGGGUUGUAAAGCACUUUCAGUGAGGAAGAACGCCUGGUGGUGAAUACCCAUCAGGAAAGACAUCACUCACAGAAGAAGCACCGGCUAACUCCGUGCCAGCAGCCGCGGUAAUACGGAGGGUGCGAGCGUUAAUCGGAAUUACUGGGCGUAAAGCGCGCGUAGGUGGCUUGAUAAGCCGGUUGUGAAAGCCCCGGGCUCAACCUGGGAACGGCAUCCGGAACUGUCAAGCUAGAGUGCAGGAGAGGAAGGUGGAAUUCCCGGUGUAGCGGUGAAAUGCGUAGAGAUCGGGAGGAAUACCAGUGGCGAAGGCGGCCUUCUGGACUGACACUGACACUGAGGUGCGAAAGCGUGGGUAGCAAACAGGAUUAGAUACCCGAGUAGUC
rnacentral:rRNA from 1 species